CAUCCGACGCAGGAUAUGUCCCGGGGCAGCGCAGGACCCCCCUCCCUCUCCGUCCGCUUCUUCGGCGAUCAGAGGAGAGAGGGCCACGCGCGGGACACGCACGACCCUCCCGACUGCUGCCUGCUCCACAGAGGGAGUUUCCUUGGCCGCCCCCGAAAAGCUUUUGCCAUCUAGAAAUGGACUCGCAGGCUCGUCUCUUUAGGCUGGAAAACCUCUCACCGCACUUGCGUGAGAGCAAGUCCCGCUGAAGUCAGGGGAACUUACUUACGAGAGAGAGAGGAGAGAGGACCCUGAAACACACGCCACCUAUCUUUGUGGGGAGGGAUAAUUGAAGAGCGCCAAACGUGAGCAUCAUGUGGAAACGUGAUCGCCAAGUUUCUCUCUGGGAAAGGAAGGAUCUGGGAUAGAUUAUACCUUGAAGUCUCCGCGAACGCUUUAGUGGAAGAAAUGAAAUUCCACCUCCCUCUCUCUCUCCUCCUCCUCCUCCCCCCUCCCCUCCGCCUUUCCCUCCCUCUUUUCCACCCUCCCCUGGCCUGCCUGCCUCCUUCCCUCCCUCCCUCCCCAGCCAUCAAGUCUUUGGCAUCAUUAUCCUCUUCGCUAAAUCCUACUGGAUGCGAGGCGGAAAACGGUGAACACCAUUCACAGAACUAACCCAACUCAAAGGAACUGAAAGUUGCAAGGAGACACCCGGAGGCUGUGCGGUUCGCAUCCCGCAGGCUUGCUCGCAGCGCGCGGCUAUAGAGCAAUACGGGAUCUGCAGCAGGGAAAGAGAGAUCUAGGGAUCGUUUGUUUGUUUGUUUGUUUGUUUAUGGGCUUCCUCCCUCGAUUGCUUUUCCUUCGCGCCCCUUUCAAAUUGCAGAUGCCAGAGUGACGGGGCAGGCGGGGGAAAACAAAACAAAACUAUUCAUAAUAAAACUUAGGGGUAGAAAGGAAGACGCUGAAUUAGCGCUGAAGAUAUAUAACAAGUGGCCAAUGAACUCCGAGUCCUUAAAAAAAAUAAAUUAAAUUUAUGGGGCGUUUCAAAGCUGCUAAGCGCGCUUACUUCGAGGCAAAACCUUCUGCUGGAGAUAUAACUUUUACUUGAGAGUGAAUGCAGCGAGGAUCUCUCUCGCGUGUGUGUUAAUAAGUCCCUGCUGCUCUUUUUUGUGGGUGGGAGAGGGAAAUUUCGACAUUUUUCUCUUGGGGUGUAUGCAAAGGCUGAGAAUUGGGGGGGGAAAAUAUAUUUGCUUUCCCCCACCUUCUGUUCUCCUUUUACACUUGCAAGGAGAUAGUCAGAGGGGCAGUUAGGAAACAGAGAUAAUAUGUAUAGAGGAGUAUACGGGCGAAGUGCGGUGUAAAAAGACUCGGAACCCAUAAACAAGCAGACAAAAUAAAGGCAGAAUGCAUAUUCAGUGUAUGAAAUAUAUAGGUAGCUUUCACGGACUUUUGCAACUGUGGCUUUAAGCUUGUUUACUCGGAAGCAAAUCCCUCUGUGGUCAGUGGGGUUAGCAUCACAGUAACUGUUCUUUAGGAUUGCAGUCAAAGGUUUAGACAGAUUGACUUCUACCUGCACCAGUAUAUUAGAAUAUCACACACACACACACACACACACACUGAGAGAGAGAGAGAGAUAGAGACAGACAGACAGACACACACACACACACACACACACACACACACUCAGUGUCUAUCUCUUACACACAGAUGGCCCUUGAAGGGCAGAAAGUUGAGUGGGUAGCUUUGCAUUUCAUGGGGGUAACAAGUCUUUUUUGUGUGUGCGCUCGCGGAGAGGUGGGGGGGGGACUUUGGCAAAGAUUAAAAUGAAAAUUAAGCCCUGAGACUCCACCUUUGCACUGUGGGGAUUGGUUAUGCAAAUGGGGAAGGGAUUUCCUGGCGAAGGCAGCUUUCUACUGUAUGGUUAAUUAAAUCAUCACUCAAAAAGG